ensembl:lincRNA
AUUUUACACUUACAUUUAUCCGCUGAAUGUUGCUACCAGUAAAUUCAUUUUGUCACAUUGUUUUCUACACAAACACACAUGUCGAUAAAAUAGGUAAAUAUAAAUAUACAUAAGCAUAUGUGUGCACACUGCAUAUAAACAUACAUGUAUAUUAGUUAUAUACAUUUCUAGUUUUUCAUAAGAUGGAUAAAAUAUUAAUGCAUACUACAAACAGUUUACCACUGGACUCUGGUAAACCAUAUUUGCUUAAAUAUUUUCAUUGUAUAAUCAAUUUAAAAUCACUUUCAAUGAAUGUAUGAUAAAACAUUUUUCUGAAAAGAACUCAAUAUAUUCAUAAAUGCAUUUCCAGAAAAAAAAUAUCAGCAUGUAUCUUCUCAAACUGUAUGAAUAUAUAGAAAUAAGUCCAGUUACCUCAUUCUCCCUUUGACUUGGAAGGAUUUACCUUAAUCUGGUUUCUACUUGAUUCUAUGGUUUAUGGAAGUUUGUUUCUGUUUAGUUAUCAUAGUACUAGGCACUAAGGAAAAUUUGAUUUAAAAAAAUCAUUACAUUGUGAUAUCAUAAUCCCUCAGUGUCUCCUGUCCUGGAUCAAGGAGAACUGGUUGGAUCCUCAGGAGGGACACUAAAGAGGAGGACUGGAUGGAUCCCCAGGAGGGACACUAGACUCUGUGGACAGAAGGAGACUUGAUGGAUCCUCAGGAGGACCCCAGACUCUGUAGACGAAGGACAGGUUGGAUCCUCAGGAGUACUCCAGGCUCUGCAGACAGAGGACAAGGAUGGUGUCCCUGGGUGGAACUCAGAACCCCUACCCACUCUUGCACCUCUCUCUUCCUGACAGCCAAGUAUGAGCAUAAAUUCUAGAAGCUCACCCUUACAUGCAUGUGGGUUACUCAUUGAAAGCUCCAACCAAGCAGCAUGUGUGACAGCAGCAAAGAAGUGAGUGAAGGAGAGAACAAGCCCAUGCAUAACGCAGUGCCAUAUUCGACACUGCUUGAAAGCAAUGCAGACUUCUGGCCUUGCUUCAGGCCAUGGGACACAGACAAGCAUCCCACAGGCAAAGGCCUGUGCACAGCUUGCCUCCUCUUGCUGCUCUUUGGGAGGCUGAUGUCCUUGCUGAAGGCUGACAGACUUUGUGGAGCAGAUGUUCCAGCCAAGAUUCGCCCCAACUGAGCAGCCUAUCAGCUGCCCAAACAGGUAAAUAAAACCACCCUGGCACAGGCAGCCCAGAGCUGCCCCAGAUCCGAAGAACUGCACAGUUAACUCACAUACACAGAAGUAUUAUUUUGAAGUAUUUAUUAUUUUUGGAGUGGUCUGUUACAUAGCAAAGGCUAACUCACUGUGGAAAGAAUUAAAUGGCUAUGCGCUUUUAUAGUCAUACCAACAAGCUGUUAUGGCUUGCACCUAGAUGUUUCCCCAAAAGCCUCAUGCACUUAUAGGAGGGACUUUUGUGAGCUAGGUGGGUCUAGGAUGUGUGAUGCUGCGACUAAGGGAGGGUGUGGAUAAUGAAAGCCCCACCCUGGGUGUGGGUGGCACUAAUCAAUAGGCUGUGGCCUGGAUGGAAUAUAAAGGGACAGAAAGAAGGCAGGCUCACUGCUGCUGCUUGCUUGCUUGCUGUUGCCUGCUAUCUGCUCUCCUGUGGACUGUUACUCCCUGUGAUGCCCUUCUGCUAUGCCACCCUGCUUAGAGCUAGCUAACCACGGACUGAAACCUUUACAGAGUGUGAGCUUAAUAAAUUUUUCCUUCCUUAACUUGUGGGUGUUGGGUAUUUUUUCCAAGAAACAACAACAACAAAAAACUAAGAUACAAACUAUUAGGGAUUUUGUUUCUACAACAUCAUAUCAUAGAAAGUUUUCAGUAAUUGCCUUUUACCUAAAAGGAAAAAGAAAUGCAACCAGCCAAUAUACGAAAAGAACAUAAUGAUUGCUCUUCCCUGACCACUUUACUUGGCCCAGCCUCUCUGAAGACACAAAUUAACAGCAUUUGUGGAGAAUACACCGGUAUGCAUGUCCGCUAUCCUGAAAGGGGACCGCACAGGCUCUGUCCUGGGCAGUCACUCGAAUGCAUCUGCAAAGGGCUAGCCAAGCUACCACGGAGGCUCUGCCUCAUGCCGGGCCUCGUCUCAGGCCUGAGUGGUCAAUAACUGUGGAUUCCAAAGACACAAUAGAGCAUCUGUUUUAAAAAACAUACUUACCAGAUAUUUAAGGUUUCCCAGAAACAGACGUUGAAAAUGGAAACACUGGAAUUUCAUUUUUCAGUACUGUCUUAACUAUUUCAAAUACUG